UGGGGAAUAUUGCACAAUGGGCGCAAGCCUGAUGCAGCGACGCCGCGUGGGGGAUGACGGCCUUCGGGUUGUAAACUCCUUUCGCCAGGGACGAAGCGUUUUGUGACGGUACCUGGAGAAGAAGCACCGGCUAACUACGUGCCAGCAGCCGCGGUAAUACGUAGGGUGCAAGCGUUGUCCGGAAUUACUGGGCGUAAAGAGCUCGUAGGUGGUUUGUCACGUCGUCUGUGAAAUUCCACAGCUUAACUGUGGGCGUGCAGGCGAUACGGGCUGACUUGAGUACUGUAGGGGUAACUGGAAUUCCUGGUGUAGCGGUGAAAUGCGCAGAUAUCAGGGGGAACACCGAUGGCGAAGGCAGGUUACUGGGCAGUUACUGACGCUGAGGAGCGAAAGCGUGGGUAGCAAACAGGAUUAGAUACCCUGGUAGUCCAUGCCGUAAACGGUGGGCGCUAGGUGUAGGGGCCUUUUGGGGUUUCUGUGCCGUAGCUAACGCAUUAAGCGCCCCGCCUGGGGAGUACGGCCGCAAGGCUA
rnacentral:rRNA from 1 species